AUAUUUACCUGGAAAGGGAAAUACCGUAAUCACGAAGGCGGUUUUCCCAGGGCGAGACUUAUUCAUUGCACUCUGGGUGUGCUGACCGCUGUGACUUCCCCAAAUGUGGGAAGCUCCCCAUUGUUUGGGGGUAGCAGGGGACUGUGUUCGCCCUUUCCGCUG
rnacentral:snRNA from 1 species